rnacentral:rRNA from 1 species
UUGAAGAGUUUGAUCAUGGCUCAGAUUGAACGCUGGCGGCAGGCCUAACACAUGCAAGUCGAACGGUAACAGGAAGCAGCUUGCUGCUUUGCUGACGAGUGGCGGACGGGUGAGUAAUGUCUGGGAAACUGCCCGAUGGAGGGGGAUAACUACUGGAAACGGUAGCUAAUACCGCAUAACGUCGCAAGACCAAAGAGGGGGACCUUAGGGCCUCUUGCCAUCGGAUGUGCCCAGAUGGGAUUAGCUAGUAGGUGGGGUAAUGGCUCACCUAGGCGACGAUCCCUAGCUGGUCUGAGAGGAUGACCAGCCACACUGGAACUGAGACACGGUCCAGACUCCUACGGGAGGCAGCAGUGGGGAAUAUUGCACAAUGGGCGCAAGCCUGAUGCAGCCAUGCCGCGUGUAUGAAGAAGGCCUUCGGGUUGUAAAGUACUUUCAGCGGGGAGGAAGGAGUAAAGUUAAUACCUUUGCUCAUUGACGUUACCCGCAGAAGAAGCACCGGCUAACUCCGUGCCAGCAGCCGCGGUAAUACGGAGGGUGCAAGCGUUAAUCGGAAUUACUGGGCACGCAGCGCAGUCGGCUCAAUACUGGCAACUGGAGCUCGUAGAGGGGGUAGAAUUCCGUGUAGCGGUGAAAUGCGUAGAGAUCUGGAGGAAUACCGGUGACUGACGCUCAGGUGCGAAAGCGUGGGGAGCAAACAGGAUUAGAUACCCGGUAGUCCACGCCGUAAACGAUGUCGACUUGGAGGUUGUGCCCUUGAGGCGUGGCUUCCGGAGCUAACGCGUUAAGUCGACCGCCUGGGGAGUACGGCCGCAAGGUUAAAACUCAAAUGAAUUGACGGGGGCCCGCACAAGCGGUGGAGCAUGUGGUUUAAUUCGAUGCAACGCGAAGAACCUUACCUGGUCUUGACAUCCACGGAAGUUUUCAGAGAUGAGAAUGUGCCUUCGGGAACCGUGAGACAGGUGCUGCAUGGCUGUCGUCAGCUCGUGUUGUGAAAUGUUGGGUUAAGUCCCGCAACGAGCGCAACCCUUAUCCUUUGUUGCCAGCGGUCCGGCCGGGAACUCAAAGGAGACUGCCAGUGAUAAACUGGAGGAAGGUGGGGAUGACGUCAAGUCAUCAUGGCCCUUACGACCAGGGCUACACACGUGCUACAAUGGCGCAUACAAAGAGAAGCGACCUCGCGAGAGCAAGCGGACCUCAUAAAGUGCGUCGUAGUCCGGAUUGGAGUCUGCAACUCGACUCCAUGAAGUCGGAAUCGCUAGUAAUCGUGGAUCAGAAUGCCACGGUGAAUACGUUCCCGGGCCUUGUACACACCGCCCGUCACACCAUGGGAGUGGGUUGCAAAAGAAGUAGGUAGCUUAACCUUCGGGAGGGCGCUUACCACUUUGUGAUUCAUGACUGGGGUGAAGUCGUAACAAGGUAACCGUAGGGGAACCUGCGGUUGGAUCACCUCCUU